UUUGAGAGCAAAAUAGGUCUGUUUUUAAUGGCAGGUGUGUAUUUCUAAGGUACAUAAAACAACAGCAUAUGCACCUUUUUCAGUUCUUGUACAGAGUGCAAAGGAGGUGGUUUAGAGGUAAUUAGAUGAAUGAGGCGAGUGCGCUUAGCAUUUACGAUCUGUUUUGGUAAAAUUUACUAGGUGAUAUUUUCUUACAAGUUUCUUCUUCUUCUUCUCUUUCUUUCUUUUUGUCGGUCCUCACCCCGUAAAAUUUAUUUUUGCGACUUUUCUGGAAAACGCUGCAAGCAAUACCAGGCAAUCAAAGAGUAGUAGCCUUUGUGAAUAACACUGCAAACGUACAACACCCGUAGAAUUACAAUGAGGGGCAAUCAACAAGGAAAGAUUCAAGCAGACUACAAGAGUUGAAAUGAAAUAUGAGCCGGGUUACAGUAGUAUAUGGAAGCUAAUGAAAGCUUAUUGCUUGCACAAUCAUAGGAUGGGAUAAAAUGAUUGACAGGUUCUGCUACGUUAACUCUAACAUUUUUUGCGACUUUUCAAAUUCUACCAUCAAUGCGUGGAUUUCCAAUCAAGAACACUGCAGACUGCUUGAAAGAAAUAAUGAAGGGACUCACUCAAGUUCGAUUUGAGGUUAACAUUCUCACAGAGAACAGAACCUCGUGUAUAC
rnacentral:lncRNA from 1 species